rnacentral:rRNA from 1 species
CUAUACAUGCAAGUCGAGCGAGACCAAACGAAGAGCUUGCUCUUCGGCGGUUAGCGGCGGACGGGUGAGUAACACGUAGGCAACCUGCCUGUACGACUGGGAUAACUCCGGGAAACCGGAGCUAAUACCGGAUACGUUUUUCAGACCGCAUGGUCUGAAAGAGAAAGACCUUUGGUCACGUACAGAUGGGCCUGCGGCGCAUUAGCUAGUUGGUGGGGUAACGGCCUACCAAGGCGACGAUGCGUAGCCGACCUGAGAGGGUGAUCGGCCACACUGGGACUGAGACACGGCCCAGACUCCUACGGGAGGCAGCAGUAGGGAAUCUUCCGCAAUGGACGAAAGUCUGACGGAGCAACGCCGCGUGAACGAUGAAGGUUUUCGGAUCGUAAAGUUCUGUUGUUAGGGAAGAACCGCCGGGAUGACCUCCCGGUCUGACGGUACCUAACGAGAAAGCCCCGGCUAACUACGUGCCAGCAGCCGCGGUAAUACGUAGGGGGCAAGCGUUGUCCGGAAUUAUUGGGCGUAAAGCGCGCGCAGGCGGCUUCUUAAGUCAGGUGUGAAAGCCCACGGCUCAACCGUGAGAGGGUCCACUUGAAAACUGGGAGGCUUGAGUGCAGUGAGAGAGAGAGCGGAAUUUCCACGUGUAAGCGGUGAAAGUGCGAUAGAGAUGUGGGAGAGAACACCCCGUGGCGAAAGGCGGUCUCUCUUGGGCCUGUAAACUGACGUCUGAGGCGCGAAAGAAUCCGUGGAGGAGGCGAAACAGGGAUUAGCAUACCCUGGUGGAGUGCCACGCCCGUAAAUCGUUUGAAGUGCUUAGGGUGGUUGGGGGACUCCAA